rnacentral:lncRNA from 1 species
UAAAUUUUUUAAUUAUUUAAGAACUGGUUAAUCAAAGUAGUAACAGCAAAGAAUAGGAAUUUCAUAAACAUGGAUUAUGCCUGUGAGCAUGUAACAUAAACUGGGUAUGUGAUACAAGUUCUUGAAAAUGGCAACAUCAAGUAUUAUAGGAAGGAGUUUAACCCUGAAAGAAGAAUCCUGAUUGUAGUCUGCAAUACCAUUUAACUACAUUCAUUUUUUUACUGAGGGAAGUAAAUAAUUACUUGAAUAUUGAAAGGUUCUUUCGUACCUCAGUAGUACAUUUGUCAUAAAUUUUUUAUAAGCUUUCUUCAUGUUCUCCCACGUGGCUUAUCAUGUUAUAGAACUCACAAAAAUGUGAUCUAUUGCUUAGAUAGUACGACCACUCAAACAUAAAACUAGGUGGGAGGUUCCUUAAAAUUGUCACGAAACAAAUGAACAAAGGGACUAAGUUAUUGAGCCAUUCUUUAUUAUAAUUGUUUUUUUCUGAAAGGGAAACGAAAUGUGGUUAAGUGGGUAAAGGGUCAACCUGACGUGAUUCCUCAGUAUAGCACUGCACAUCAUGUACUGCUCAUAAACAUCAUGUACUGCUCAUAAACAUCAUGUACUGCUCAUAAACAUCAUGUACUGCUCAUAAACAUCAUGUACUGCUCAUAAACAUCAUGUACUGCUCAUAAACAUCAUGUACUGCUCAUAAACAUGUAAUCAGGUAAAUAAUUUCACUUGCACUCCGAGAACAUGUAUUUUUUUCAGUAACCUGACCAAGUAAAGAGGUACAAUUAUUAUGGUCUUAAGCUCUUGAAUGAGCAGCGUGACCUAUAUCUUUUUUUAAUUUUGGGGUACAAAUUAUGCCUGACCAUCCUAAAUUUUAAAUUUGUGAAAUUUUAAAAAUUAAUUGAAGGGGAAAAAGACCUUAUAAAGCAUGUGCAAAGGGCAUUACUUGAUGGUGCAAAUUAUGACCUUGAAAUCAAUUACUCAAGCAAUGUUUUGAGUUGAUUUGGGUUAAAAUUGCACUAUUUUUCCACAAAUUGUAUAAUUAUCUAAUUGUACUAUAGGCUCAAACCUUUCUACCUGUCACCUCUUAAGUAUUACUUUAAAAACCCUUGCUUCGAGAUACCUCUAAAGGUACCAUGAACCACUGAAAUGACAGGUGUGAUAAGAGCAAGUUCAGGCAUAAAUGGGAAAUUUUAAAAAUAGUCCAGGGCAGCAAGUUUGAAAAUUACUGCUCCAGUAUUAUGAUCAUUUCAUGACUUGACUUCGUGUGAGCAUACCAUUUGUACCAUCAACUCUAACAGAUUUCUGUGAUCUUGGAGGCGACAAGCAAGUGCACUGCACUGAAAAAGUAGAGUUGAGAAGAGGAAUAAAUAGAUCAUGAUAAGAUUUGGACAAAAUUGAUCCAAUACUUUUUAGGUCUAAAAUAACCAUGAUGUUCUUUUCUAAAGGAUACUACUGACACUAUCGCUCUUUGAAUUACAGAGCAGAGGGUUCUACGAUCCAUUCGCAGAUACGCCACUGAGUAGUUCUUCCUUCUUUAGUUUCGCGAGGUCUCAAGAACCAUAUCGACCAAAUCGUGUGCACGAGUAGCAUUGUACUUCUGAGUACGUCGUUAGUAAAGGUAACAUACCUUCCUUGUAAACGCUACGAUGACUAGUGUUUUCCUGUUGCUUGACGUCGUCAAUUCAGGGAAGCCAGCUUCUAAAGAAGUUUCAUUUUGUUCGAUCUCAUGAUUAGGGAAGGACGUUCUUGUGUAAUGCGCCAUUAACACCAAGUAACUGAUUCGAAACAUUCACAUCAAUGGCACUUACGACUUCAGUUGACGUAACACUGACAACUACAGAGCUACUCGUAGUCGCGUACUUCCAGGUCGAUUCAACUAUAACAUUUCUCAUAGUUUUUUUGGAUAGCGUAUAGGUGCAGAAAAAUCGUAUCACAUUUAUGCGAACUUGCGGUGUAAAUAAGUUGGUCAUCAGUUUCCGUCUGAAACCUCUACAAAGCUUACAAGUUAUUGUUAACUAACUUACCUCUUUGAGCUUACUCAAGUAUUGUCACUGUUAUAUUUUGUCGCACGUUUGGGAAGAAGAUGGACGUAAACGCCGAGCUGUCUUAAUUUUGUACGUAACAUCCUAAUACGUAAUUUCAGCUGGCGUCCUAGCUAAACAUACGAAGUGCCUUCAAAAGCUUUAAUAAACUUUUUCAGUAUACAAAUGUAUGUAUUAAAAUGUCC